rnacentral:rRNA from 1 species
UACGUAGGGUGCAAGCGUUAAUCGGAAUACUGGGCGUAAAGCGUGCGCAGGCGGUGAUGUAAGACAGUUGUGAAAUCCCCGGGCUCAACCUGGGAACUGCAUCUGUGACUGCAUCGCCGGAGUGCGGGCAGAGGGGGAUGGAAUUCCGCGUGUAGUAGUGAAAUGCGUAGAUAUGCGGAGGAACACCGAUGGCGAAGGCAAUCCCCUGGGCCUGCACUGACGCUCAUGCACGAAAGCGUGGGGAGCAAACAGG